UCACCAGGUAGGCCGAAUAGUCUUAUAUAGCCAUUUGUUGUCCAGGGCAAUUUUGCCUAUUAAGUCUGUUUCCUCCCAGUUAACCUUCCUUCCAUGAGCCCCUGAAGCUUGAUGUCUGAACUCAGGGAUGGUUUGGAAACCCCUACUUAGGCAGUCUUGGGUCUUCUCAAAUACUGCAGUCUAAUAGCAUGUCCUGCCUGCUCUAAAACUGACUCCUGCUCCUUCCAUCUGUUUUUCCCAGUUUACAGAUCUGGCUUGUGUAUUCACUCUCUACAUGUCUAUGUAAGUAACCACAUUUGCAUUGGCUGAGAAGUCGUCACUUGCCAAAUAGUCUUUAUUGAGUUCAAGAGCCAACAUGCUCUAUGGUCCUUCUAAUCCAGCUGUUCUCAACCUUGGCUGCACAUGGAAUCACUGAGGGAGGCCUUGGUCUGCAGUAAAGCCUACACACCUCCCCAGGACUAAGUACGGAUUUCUGAGUAUAACCAUGGAAGAAGACCCUCGAAAGGGAACUGCUGAGUUAAAGGAAAUUGCCAUUUAUACUUUGGCUAAAUGUUGCCACACUUUCAUUCCUGAAGUUGUGCCAAUUUAUGUUGGUAGCAACAAUGUAUUAGAGCACUUUCCCCAUCAUCAUAAAUACAGUGACUUGGAAGCUAAGGCCCAGAGAGGAGAAGAAACUUGAUCAAAGUCAAUCAGACAAUGCAGAAUCGAGAAAAGUACCUGGACCUCUAUGCCCAUGCUUCUAGCAGCCAGCCUCCUAAAAUACCUCUAGUUGAAGCCAAAGUUAGAAUCCUUCUAUGAAACUACAGGAUUAAAAUGGAAUGGUUACAUGACCCAGGCUUGACCAAUCAGAUCAUCCAAACCCUUUGCCACAGUGAUUGGUCCAGGGAUACAUGCAUGAGCCAGCUCAGGUAAAUGAGACUCAAUUAUAAGAAUUUUGUUAGCGCAAUUGGGAAAAAGAAGUUUUCUUUCCAUGAGAACUAUCAGCUAUAAGAAUGUUGGAUGCUUCCAUCUGCUGGAGUCCAUGAAGA
rnacentral:antisense_RNA from 1 species